rnacentral:rRNA from 1 species
UACGUAGGGUGCAAGCGUUAAUCGGAAUUACUGGGCGUAAAGAGUGCGUAGGCGGCUAUGUAAGACAGAUGUGAAAUCCCUGGGCUUAACCUAGGAACUGCAUUUGUGACUGCAUGGCUAGAGUGUGGUAGAGGGAGAUGGAAUUCCGCAUGUAGCAGUGAAAUUCGUAGAUAUCGGGAGGAACACCGGUGGCGAAGGCGGCGACCUGGGUCGAGACUGACGCUGAGGCGCGAAAGCGUGGGGAGCAAACAGG